GGCCGCGGGAAUUCGAUUCAGGCCUAACACAUGCAAGUCGAACGAACUUCCGUUAAUUGAUUAUGACGUACUUGUACUGAUUGAGAUUUUAACACGAAGUGAGUGGCGAACGGGUGAGUAACACGUGGGUAACCUGCCCAGAAGUAGGGGAUAACACCUGGAAACAGAUGCUAAUACCGUAUAACAGAGAAAACCGCAUGGUUUUCUUUUAAAAGAUAGCUCUGCUAUCACUUCUGGAUGGACCCGCGGCGUAUUAGCUAGUUGGUGAGGUAAAGGCUCACCAAGGCAGUGAUACGUAGCCGACCUGAGAGGGUAAUCGGCCACAUUGGGACUGAGACACGGCCCAGACUCCUACGGGAGGCAGCAGUAGGGAGUCUUCCACAAUGGACGCAAGUCUGAUGGAGAAGCGCCGCGUGAGUGAAGAAGGGUUUCGGCUCGUAAAGCACGGGUGUAAAGAAGAACGUGGGUAAGAGUAACUGUUACCCAGUGA
rnacentral:rRNA from 1 species